rnacentral:misc_RNA from 1 species
AAGUCGUAACAAGGUAACCGUAGGUGAACCUGCGGUUGGAUCAUUAUUGAAUAAUAAUAAUCUUUUUUAUUUUUUUUUGUAGGAAUUUUAAAACCUCCUCAAAAAAAAAUAUAAACCCCAAAAACUUACACUUUAUGAAAUUUAUUUAAAUGUCUUUACCUGUCUUUUUUUUUUCUAUUUUUUCUUUAGGCUCAAGUUUUUUCGCAAGAAAGAAUUUUUUUGGCUUAAAGAUUUUUUAGAAAAAAUGGGCAGGGUAUUUAUAAACACCAAUUUUCUAUAUGUAAGGCUUUUAAAGUCUUUUUUUAUUAUAGUUUUCUUUUUUAUAUAUAGUUAUUUCUAUAUUAGAAAAGUAAAACAAAAUAAAGAAAAAAAAGCAAACAACUUUUGACAACGGAUCUCUUGGUUCUC